GAGCCGGGGAGGGAGUCUGAGCAGAAAUCUGUAGCCCAGGAUGUCUGACUUUCUGUCAGCCGUCUCUGAUUAACGGGCUGCCUUCCAGCUCCGAGCCGGCUGCGUUCCUGGCAACAGAGCCCCGAAGCUUCCUGGCGGGGGCGGGGCCUGCUGAAAGGUUACAUUUGCACAAUGCGCCUCUGUUCAGUGAUCCUGCCAGGAUGCCUGAAGGACCCAGUGAGAUGUAGUAGGAAGAAGGUUAUAUUUUAAAAUUUGGAGGCAGGUAGUAAAUGUCCAUGUUUUACCUUCUGGCCUGAUCGUUCACUCUGAAAUUCAGUAUUGCCUUAGGUGAGUUCUCAUCAUCUGUCU